GCAGAGUUGUGGAAGGCGAUACUAUUAUUGUUUUCUGGGUUGUUCUGUAGAUAGAAAUAUUAUUCAGAGUUCAAAAUGAGUUAAAUAGAUAGGAAGAGCA